GGUGGUUCUCGGGUGACAUAUCCCAGAAUUGGGCUCCCUCCUCUCUGGUUCCGGGGUGCAUCACCCAAGAACCUAA
rfam:Myotis davidii contig79762, whole genome shotgun sequence.